rnacentral:rRNA from 1 species
UACAGAGGUCCCAAGCGUUGUUCGGAUUCACUGGGCGUAAAGGGUGCGUAGGUGGGCAGGUAAGUCAGUGGUGAAAUCUCCGAGCUUAACUCGGAAACUGCCGUUGAUACUAUUUGUCUUGAAUAUUGUGGAGGUAAGCGGAAUAUGUCAUGUAGCGGUGAAAUGCUUAGAUAUGACAUAGAACACCAAUUGCGAAGGCAGCUUACUACACAACGAUUGACGCUGAGGCACGAAAGCGUGGGGAUCAAACAGG